CCCGAGGCCCGCCGCCUUCAGGGCAGCCGUGCUGGGCACCGCCCCCUCCCGCCAAUCAGGCGGCGUCGGCCACGCCCCCUUCCGCGCCCUCAGCCAAUGAGUAGCGUCGGCCAAUCACGAGACCUACACCAUAAACAAGCCUACACAAAGAACAAAGGAAAUGAGAAUCUGCCCGCACCAGGUUUAAACAGACUGGAAAACCCCAAGGGUCUAGGUGAUAUGGUUAGGUAAGUGUGAAGGUCCAUUUAGCCAGUGAUAGUUAGCAAAGGGUGGCCUGAUGCUGGGUAGACCUACAUAGCCUAGAAUAGCAAUGAUUUGGGCAGGGUGCUAAAUAUUCAGUUCAAAGAAACGGUAAAAGCAAGAAAACUCAACGAAGGAAGAAAUUACUGCUUGCCUUUCAUUGCAAAGAACCAAGAAAUCUAGGCAAAAAGUCAGCAAGGCACAGUUCCCCCCCCCCCCGAAAACUGAAACACAUAUGUGUUCCCAUUUUUGCUGAGUUUCUUAAUCUAUAUUCUUGGCUGGGCCUCUCCCUCUUCCCACCCCCUCUCUCUUUCCCUGAGACAGGGUCUCACUGAGUAGCUCUGGCUGUCCUGGUGCUCACUAUGGCUGGCCUCACUCUGACAAAGAUUCAGCUACCUACCGCUGCCUCUGUGGGUUUCUAUUAUGAGCUCACUUUAUGUGAGUCCAUAGUAAAGCAAAGGAGAAACUGAAGGGCGAAGUGAAUUUAAUGAAGGGAUUGAAUUUUCCUCAAAUAGUAUUUUAUUUCAAAUUGUUUUCUAAUAUUUUCAUAACCUUUCCCCUUUUUCCAUCUAAGAGCAAAUGUCUCUUUUGAAAAGAGGUCUUUUACAUUCUUUAAUAAAUAAAUCCCAAGAAAUGAUAGCCACAAGAGUCCACGAUGGCACAACUAAUGUCCUUUACCUAAGAUUAUCAAAGGGGGGUCUUUUUGGUCCACUGCCCUCCACUUUGAUCAGCCUGUCUUUAGUGCCCUUUAUUCAACUAUAGAUCAUCUACACAGUAAUGUUCCCUUUUUGUUGUUUGUUUUUGUUUUAAGUUUUGUUUUUUAAGACAGGGUUACUUUACAUAGUUCUGGUUGUCCAGGAACUUGCCCUGUAGACCAGGCUGGCCUCAAACGCAUGGAUGUCCCUGCCUCUGUUGCAGGAGUGUUGGAACUGAAGGUGUGGGACACCAGGCGUGGGCUUCUUGUUUGUCUGGGCUUUGGUAACAUUUCUUAGAAUGAUCCAUGAUGUGUGACUACAUGGUCCUCCCCUGAAGUGCUCAGUGCCAUUGAGGCAUCCUCAGGCCUCAGCAUUUGGUCCUCAUACCCUGGCUUUCUUCAUACGUGUUCUCUCUCCUGGCAGAAUCCAGCUUUCUCUUUCCUUUCUCUUCAGUUCUUCACAACUGGAGGCCUUCCUUCCUGUACCAGCCAGCUUGGCUAAAGAGAACGAGACCUACAGAGUGACUUAUCAACUUAAGAUCAUACUGAUCACUUAGAGGGAAAGAUGAAAGCCAGUUGUUGACUUUACUCAAAAUGGGAAUAAACAUCAAUCUUCUGUUUGCUGUGUCUAAAAUAGGGAAGAUGUUUAAAAAUAGGAUAUGGGCGAAACUUGCUACCAAUGUGUGUGUGUGUGUGUGUGUGUGUGUGUGUGUGUGUUUACUUUAUUUAUUGUGUGCACAUGUGUGUAUACUCAGGAGUAAAGGCAUGGAGGUCAGAGGACAAGUGUGAGAGGCUGUUCUACUAUGUUGGCUCCAGGAAUCAAACUCCUGUUGUCAGCCAUCUUACUGAACCCUACUAAAUUUUUCAUUAAAAACUUAGAGUGAUACUUUAUUAAAUAUUUUACAUGACUUGAAACUCAUGUCAAAAUCAUUUUGCUGAUUUUGAAAUAUGAUUCAAAUGUGAUUAUUUUUAAUAAGGUGUAUGAAGUUUUAGGGCUCGGAGACACCAUAACUGCUUUCCAGUUGUGAUAUUGUUUCUAGUAUUCCAGUGUUGUGAUAAACUUUCCUCAUAUAUCAGUUUUUGCUUAGCAGCUCUCAUUGGUAGGUACAGAAUUUCAGAGUACAGGGGUAUAGGUCUAGUUUAAGGCCCUUGAACACUGGCUGAACAUAUUUUGUGGAAAGGUUUGAAAAAGCCUACAGUAAAAGGCAGUCAUUUGAAUAUAGAUCUGCUCUGUCAUCUCUGGUGUCAGCCAUUAAUAUUCCACCCAUCUCAACGGCCCUCCCUGUCCUGCUGAGUCAUUGCCCUUCUUCUGUUGAAAGAUUUCCCACUGAACUCAAAUGCUUGUCCAAGCACCAUGGUACCUCUCCAGGCCUCUGCUUUACCAUGGAGCUCUCUGCUGGGUGAUGAUAAAAAUGCUUUCUCAUCAGACUCUGACCCCUGGAGGGCACAGAGGGAGCCCCACACAUCCCUAAGUCUUACCUGUGUGCCAGCUAAGUGCUCAGAGCAUCCUGGAGACCAGUGAGUUUGCAUUCUUACUCUCAGACAUUCUUUCAGGGCAGGUCUCUCUAAUCUUUAAUAGCAGUGCUGAGAUCUUAUAAAAGGAUUCCAGUAAAUAUUUGUGAAAAUAAUCGCCCUUAAAGACCAAUGCUGUGGAGCAGAAAGACUGAGUCUGUCACAAUUCCUUACUUGGCUUUGAACAUGAUCGUGUUCAAAUUAAUUAUUAAUGCUCGUGAUACAAGUUGAGCAUGUAGGGUGUGCUGAGGGAAAUGUGUUCAGCUCUUUUGAAAGAAGACACCUAGUUAAUGACAUGAGGCGAAUUUCGGACUUCUCUAGAGACUCUCAUUCCAGUGACCUGGCUAUUAUCUCCUAUGUGGUUGCUAAGUAAGGAUUCAGUAUCAAAAAUCAACUAGUAAAGACAUCUUUAGAAUUAUGUUCCUAUCUGUCAUCUAUCUAUCUAUCUAUCUAUCUAUCUAUCUAUCUAUCUCUCUCUCUCUCUCUCUCUAUCUCUCUAUCUCUCUAUCUCUCUAUCUCUCUCUCUCUCUCUCUCUCUCUAUCUAUCUCUAUCUAUCUCUCUAUCGCUCUAUCUCUCUAUCUCUCUAUCUAUCUCUCUAUCUAUCUCCCUCUCCUCUCUCCUACUCCUGCCCCAAGCAUUGUUUACACAUUUGUAAUACCAAGCAGUAUUUACACAUCUGUAAAUUCUGUAAUUUGUUUCUUGCAGAGGAAUCUGCACUUUACAGGGUUGUAAAUUGAAUACUCCUUUGGAGCUGUUAGAUUCCUGCUAUCUUUUCCUCUGUGGCUCAAGACCAAUACUACUUCCAAGGAGAAAUAAAAUCAUCUCUGAAAAGGCCAGGGCUGAGUCCCAUUCUGUCUCCUCCAUAUUCUACCAACACAACUGUCACUGUGAAUGGAUAUCUGCCCCACCUGCUAAGAUACACAUCCUGCUAGCCUUCUAACCCACAUACUGGAUUUGUACCCCACACCUCAUUGAAAGGCUGAUUGCAAGUGGAAGUCCCACAAAUAUAGUGUCAGUUUCUCCCACUGCUCAAUGCCAGCCCACUUCAUGUUUUUUAAAAAUGAAUUAGUUUUAAACAUUUAUUAUGCAGGAAUUUUUUGUUCUUGCGGAACUCGGCUGAGUGACUGGAGCGGUGGAGCAGGAGUAGCUGGGAAGCCAUGUGAAGGACACUGUGCUUUCUACACUGUGUGGUCAUGGUCUGGGUCUAUGUAAACACUUCAAAAGUAUCACUGGCUUAUCAGACAAACUUAUAUUCCAUUUCUGCAAUACUUUUAAAGUUGCUUUACGCUGGAGAUCUUUGAGCUUUAUGACCUUCGGCAUCUUUAGAGUAAGAUGUGGGGGUAGAAAAGAUAGCAAUGUACAAAACUGAGGGAGCAGAGGGCUUAGGCCAGCGCGCACCACCAUGAGCUAUAUGAUAUUAAGCCUCAGCUUUCCAAUCUGACAAGAGUGAGUGCUCUUUCCAAACUGACAGAACUGAGUUCUUCCAGUUCUGUAAGGACUCGGAGCAUCUUUAAGAAAAGCAUAAUGCUACAAGUACAGAGUUAAUAAUGAUGAGUUACUAUAGACAUUACCGCCACAUGCAGAAAUGACCGUGAUCUCCUCAAAGAGGGCCCGUCUUGCCCAGAUCAGAGAAUUAUUGUCAUCUAAGUCCUCUUAACCAGACAGACAGAGCUACUCCUGCUAUUCAGUGCCUCAAGCGCAUGGGAAAGUGGAAAAGGGGUGUUCAAGCAAAGAAACACCUUCAUCUCUAUCAAUAGUGGAUAAAAUACUUAUUUUUGAAAUUUGGUUAAAAUAGAACUAUGUUAAUACAUGGCUUGAGGUUCUUGAGGCCAUGGAGGGCAUAUAGUAUUGGUGAUAAAUCCUAAAGUCUGGGUCUCUUCCCUCACACAUACUUUAAGAUUGUGUUAGGUUUGGUUUGGUUUGGUUUGGUUUGGUUUGUAUCCUGGGGACAUUUCCUGUUACCCUGCUCAUCUCCCUGAUUCUCCAAAGUCACCGCCCCAAAGUCUUUUGAGGAACAAAUAUAAUGUAGGUGACAAAUUGCAUCUGCAACGCCCAUCUACAGCAAAAGUAAUUUAUAUUUUUAUAUAAAGAUAACUAUGAAGUGCACUGGCUAAGUGUUGGAACAGGAAGAUGGGUGGGUAGUUGGGACAUCCAGGGGAGAAUGAGGUAGUUUAUAGGUAGGGCUUGUUAAUAAACAGAACAGCUAUUACCUGAGACUUAGAGAGCCUCUAACAGUGUUGCAUUUUCAAGGAUUUUCAGGAAUUGGCACAGAGUCAGAAUAAAAUUGGAGGGACCUCAGAAGGGCACAAUGAUCUGUAUUCGAAGUUUCCAGAGCUUCUGAACGUAGCUUAAUUCACCUAAACUCUAGAGCCCAUCUCCCAGGAGAGUCUUACUCGGCUGGGUAUUUACAGCAUUUGCAAAUGUAAGAGCCUGUUGGAAAGCUCUUCAGAUGGAAACAAGGAAACGCACCAGAGUUUGCUAACUGAAAUCUAGUGGACAUACUAUUUUACUAAUAAAAGUUCCCAAGUAGUCUUAAAAUACCUUUUCAUGCAAGCAUAAAGUUCAUCAAUUGGCCUUGUUAGAAAGGAGAUAAUCUCCAUUUCGAUAAAUGAUGCAAUCAUGCAGUACUUCAGAGGUAUGAUGCUGGUUUAAGGUGAUGCAUACGAACUGAAUUGCAAACUUGCGACCACAAUAGCAGCUCACGAGAUGCUAGAAGCUUGCAAGUUUGGAAGCAUGUGUUGUAUAGUAUAUAUGGUCUAAAUAUCCCUCUAUUCACACUCCUUCUCUUCCAACCCUUACCAAGCGAGUCCUGGUGGUAAACUGACAGAGGACAGUCAUAUGAUGUAAUGAUGCGGCCAAGGCAUAAUCCCUGCAUUGCUAGAGAAGAGAAAUGGAAAAUGGAAGAUGGCGGGAAAAGGUUACUCGCAAAGAGCUCAGAGGGGCCUUGAACAUUCAUGCCUCUAACUAGAUGCCCUUCAGCAGUAGCUCUGGGGACAUUUGAGGGAGAAUGCUUGUAUAUGAUGAUGCAGUUACAUCAACCAGAAGACAGGAUUGAUAGCCCCCAAGGACCACAGAAUGAAGCAGGGUAGUAUCAUACUGGGCUUGCUUCCUGCUUCCGUGUUCAUUACUUAAUGCUUCCUCGAAUGUAUUCACAGUGCUUCCCGUGUGUAGCCACUUGCUUUAUUAUAGUCCUAAUAUGAAGAACACAGGUCACAUUUAGAACAGAGCCGCGACUACUGAGCCUUAAACAAGUAUCACCAGUGUGUAAUGACUGCAGUACUGCAGAGAACACGGGCAGAGAAUAAACGGUAGGGUUGGUCACCUGAUCUAAGCCUCCUAGAUAAAAUGAAAUGUAAGCACUGGGCUGCUUCUCCUGUCUCCAAGAGCGGUGUGUAGGUACCCCAUCUGGGAAGUCCUUUCCACAUGCAACUCCUGUCUUACUGUUGCCAUUUCCUCUUUCCUUAUAGUCCAAACUGCGUUUACAAAAUGCCCACGAAGCAUGCAGCGGCCAGGCUGCCACAUAGUGUGAAGUCCCCAGUUAUUUCCUAAGAGCACGGCCUCUAAACACUCAACAGGAUCCUUCCUCCCCUCCUGAUGACAGGCUCUUAGUUAACGUUACCAUCUCAUGUUUACUCCAUUACACUGUUCCAUCCACAGGCAUGAGUUAGACCAUGCGCCACUUGUAGCGUGUGUGUACACAUGAAGACUGUUGUGUGCUUGAAGGCAGAACCCUAUCUCUGCUCUGUGGUCUACACAUCUCAGAAAGCCAGUGCUGAUAAUCAUUAUCUGUAUAGUAAUAAAGCAACCAGUAAUGCUAGGGACUUACUGCAUGCCAAUCAUUAUGCAGUAAUUUGCAUAUGAUAUCUUAUCUUGACUAAUAUUUGUAAGCCCUCUAAGAACUGAUUGUAUUAGAGUCAUCUUUGCAUAUGAUAUUUAGCCAUAAAGGUCUACUGAGUGUUUCAAGGAAGAAUUGUGAUGUGAAGUUGUAUUUAGAGUGUUAUACGGUUCCAACCUUGUCAUUACUGUGUUCAGUCGGUCAUUAUUGUCACUGUUACUUGAAUCUUUGUGUUAGGCUAUCAGGUGGAUUGGCUUAGAUCUGUCAUAUAUUCACCAAAUAUACUUGGGUGCCUCUGUGACAUCUAUUGAAAUAAGCACUGAGAUUGGGCAAAGAAGUACUACUCAUCAUUCCUAAUUCUAAUAAAUUAAAAAUUAAUUUAAAAUAUUUUGACAUUUAUUUAUUUAUUUAUUGACUGACUGACUGUUGUGAAAGUUUACGGCACACGCAUGCCCAGCACACCUGUGAAGGACAACUCGUAGGCGCUGGCUCUCACCUUCUUCCAUGGUGGCUUCUGGGAAUCAGUCUACAUAGCCGUGGUUGGUGACAGAUGCUUUGCCCCCUGGAAUGUUGCUCUAAACUAAAGUGACUAGAUGGUCCCUGGGUAAAGAAAAUACUUUUUGCAAGUUAGGUUAAAAUUCCAAAUGUUUGAGUGUUUGGUGACUGAUGUGCGAGAUGAACAUAAGAUGUCAGAGCUGAGGGAAAGGUGACAUUGCUGUCCUCACACACCCAUCAAGGCAAGCCCAGAGCUUUUGCAGUUAGUAGGAUUAGCUGCCAGGAUGACAGCAACCUGAGACUUACAUCCAUAGCCUUCUAUAUGGCCUUUUUUUUUCUGGCGGCCUCAUUCUACAUAGUUGGGCUCAGUGCUCUGCCAUGUGGUCACUUGUCUGAGAUCAGUAUCAAAGGAUAGACUUUUGACUCAAAGACAGACAGCCAUUCUAUAAUUUGGCUGUCCAUCUUUCUAAGUCUUUUAAAACGACCAUCUCAGCCAAUCAUAUUCCUACUUAGAAAUGUGGCAUUAGGAAACCAAGACUUUAUGCUGUUUGUCAGAUCCUGAGAGGAUGGGAAGCACCGUGUGCAAACUAGCAGUGCUGGCUAGGGAAGGAAGGAUGGGGCCAGGCAUGGAAAGAAAGAAAGUCUUGGAGCAGCCUCCACUCUCGUCUCCAGUUCUGGGCCCUGUUUAUCCUGCAGGGAUUUUCUUACCCAGUCAAGUCUUUUGCCACUAGCGACUCUGUAAGUAACUGUACCCGUGUUUCUUUUGAGCAAACACGAUUAGCUGCAACAAUCUUAUCUCUUUUUCAUGUCAAGUGUCCCUACAUGGGAACUGCACUCUUAGUUUUUACUGGUAAAAGGAUGUAAAAAUACAAUAUUCCAAAAGAAAGAACUAGAACUUACUGGACGAGAAAGCCCCAUGGUAGUUUUUACAUACUGAAAACUUCUUACAGUCUCACUAAGAAAGUGUGUCUGUAACGUGUGAAACCCUCAGACUCCUCAUUCUGUGCCUUGAUGAGCAGUUAUCAGUAAUCUAUUACCCACACUGCCUCUCUCCAGGCACAGUGUCAUAUGUCUCCUUUGUCAAGUGCCUAAAAAGACAGACCUUGAGGCAAAAUCUUUUACCCUUUCUACUCAUCCUUCAUUCAGACUUAAUGCCAGUGGUUCCCAGUCCAAUGAAUUCCUACAGUUUAUGAGUCACAAAAUUAAAAGUAGAUGUAAAAACAAACAAAAAUCACAGUUAAAUUUUUCCAAAGUUUUACUAGUCAAGGAUAAAGACAAAGUUAUGGAGGGUACUACUGUGUCAGGCUACAGUUAACCAUCACUGUGACACUCCCACAAGAUGCCAAGGGGUCCAGGUCUGCAUUGCAAGUACAAAUGUGUAGAGAUGUUUUUAUUAGACUCAACUUCCUGACUGGGAUGUGCCUGAACAGCUAAUUUUUCUGUUACUAUAGAACCAAUCACUAGCAACAGUGGAGUGGUUUAAAAUGAUAAUCAGAGCCAAUCAGAUUCAUUUCUUGGGACUUUAGCUUUAGGACACUGAGACACUGAGAUGGCUGGCAGUGAAGUUCAAGUGUAGGAGGAUGUCAUAAACUAUACAAACUAGAACGAUAUCAGAGCUCGUAGAGGUGAAGGGUAAAUGUGCUGCUCUGGAAAGGAAAGGGAAGCCCUCUGUGAGAAUAAGGCCAAAGCAGCUUUACAGGGCCGGUCACAGAGAGCCCGGGGUCCUGGUUCUCUUCCUGUGUCACACUCAUCAUCCCUCCUGGAGCGGCUCAGUCUUUCCUUCUCUAAUUUCUACCGGGCUCACUGUAGUUCACUGACCCUCAGACCCUUCUUACUGUCUUUUGUUAAAAAGCUCUCACGCUUGGUUAAGCCUUUGGAAAGUACAGGAAAUACUUCACUCAGUGGUCUCCCUGGCAGUCCUGGUCUUCCUGUUGGCGAGAAGGUGCUAUUGAUUUAUCUGUGGGCACAAGCCUUGACACUCUGGAUUGCCUGUUUCUCUCUGAAGAUGUUAAUACCUAGAGACGCUCAGGUCUGGGGAGCUGGAAUGCCCAGUACUAGAAGCAUUUGGAGACACUCUUAGGUUACUGUGAAGAGACACUACACUCAUGCACUUUGCUCGUGACCUGAAAAGGAUUGCCUAGAAUGCCUAGAAUGGUGAAACUGAAAGUUCUUUUAUUCUUUAUACCUUAUCCAAUAUUAUAUAAUCUAACCACUUUUUAAAACCUCUUUAAGCUUCAUCUUUUAGAGUUUACUUUAUAGGAUUUUGUGAUAAGUUUUUGAAAAUACAUAGUGUAUAGAAUAAUAUCUCCUAUCAUGAGCACUCAAUAUGUGAGUACUAUUUCUGCUAUUUUAAAAUUCUUCACAGUGCUGAGAGUAAGAGACUACUGAGUGUUCAGUCAUAAAAGGUAUAUUUGCAUAUCCCUUCCAACAAAGGUUCAGAGAAUAUCACAGAAGAAGGGGCAGAAAGAAUGGAAGAGUGGGAAGGCGGGAGGUGUCACCUUUAGUUACAGCAUACCUGUUGCCCUCAUGACCCCACAAAAGCUGUAGUCGUGGGCACAAGAGCAAGCUAGUGAACAUUCUAGCAUGGACAGGAGAGGGACUCAUGAGACACCAGCCCUGGCUGAGGAGCAGUUGACAGCUGUGGGUGAAGGGUGUCACUUUUUAUUAGACUGUGACAGCUAGUAGGUUGUCUAUGCUCUGGUGGGCGGCCUCAGAGCCAUGUGCAUGCAAAUAGCACAAUACGCUUGGUCCAGGACGUGGCACUCUUAGGAGGUAUGGCCUUGUUGGAAUAGUGUGGCCUUGUUGGAGGAAGUGUGUCACUAUGGGGGUGGGCUUUGAGACACCCCUCCUCACUUCCUGGAUGCCGGUCUUCUCCUGAUUGUCUUUGGAUCAAGAUAUAGAAUUCUUGGCUUCUUCUCCAGCACCCUGUCUGCCUGGAUGCUGCCCUGCUUCCUGCCAUUAUGAUAAUGGACUGAACCUCUGACCCUGUAAGCCAGCCCCGAUUAAAUGUUGUCCUUAUAAGAGUUGCCUUGGUCAUGGUGUCUCUUCACAGAAAUGGAAAUCCUAAGACUGAAGUUGGUUAUCAGGAGCUAGGGUAUUGCUGUGAUAGGCCUGACCGUGUUUUUGUUUGGAGGAAUGUGGACUUGAGGACUUUGGGUUUGGAAAGCCAUGGGAUGCUUUAAGUGGGACUAAAUGGGCCAUCCUAAUGGGAAUAUGGAGGACACUGGUGCUGAGGAGAUUUGGACCCUGGAGAUCAUUCUCAUGGUGAAGAUCUUAUGGUGAAGAAUGUUGCUGCUUUUUGGCCUGUCUGAAGAGUCUGUCUGAGGCUUAGGUGAGGAGGCUCAGAUUAAUUGCAUCAACAAAGGAGGUCUCAGAAACGCCUAGCAUAGAUUUUGUUCUCUGGUUAAGUCACAUGAAGAAUAUUUUGAUCAAGCAUAGCAAGCUUAUAAAGAAAGAAAAAUACAAAAUGUAUUAAAGGGGCACAAAUGGAGCUGAAUCCUGUGUUCAAGGAGAUAAAUGGAUUAAGGGGGUGGUGAGUUCCUGGGCAAGAUCCCACCCAUCUAAGCUUUUUGUUUAUGCCUUUGCAGUUGAACGAGGGAUAGUUAUAGUUAGGUAUUACUAUUACUUGGUUCUUGUUUUCAUUUGGACUUUUAACCCAAAAUGAACUACAGUCCAGAAAUGGAGGGAACAGGCUUUUGAUAUAGAUCUUGAAGCAUAGUGGCCUUGAAAAACUUAGGUCUAGGCAUGGUGGUACACACCUUUAAUCCCAAGACACAGAGGCAAGCAGAUCUCUAAAGUCAAGGCCACCUGGUACAGAGCAAGUUCCAGGUAAAGAAAACCUUCAGUCCAGGUGUGAUGAUAUAAGCCUUUAAUCCCAGCAUUCAGGAGACAGCACCAUGCAGAUCUCGGAGUUGAAGGUCAAUCUACAGAGCAAGUUCUAGGACAGAGAAACUUAGGCAGUGAAGGAGUUGGAAAACAGAAAGCUAGUGAUAAUGUAAUAGAACAAGGGGCCAUGUUCCAGCUCCUGCAAGCAGCAAAACUAGGCAGCUUUGGCCACAUGGCUUUGGCUUUAGAGUCCAGAAUAGAAAGGACUGCUGGGACAAUUGGUACAGGUUGACUGGAGCUAAGAAAUAAGUGGUGAUUGAAACCAAUAUCACUAAGGUGAAAUCUUCUGGGAAGUGUUUUCUGAGAGCACAAAGAAGUUGUGUUCCAGAGAUAGCCAAUGUUGUACCUCGUACUACAGCUGAACUUUGUAAUAUGUAAGAAUCACCCAGGUGGUACUGGUUUUGAAGGGGUCAUGAAGAGCAGUUGAGGCUUGGCACUGUGGGAGGCCAAGGAAGGCCAGGUGGAGGUGCAGCCUCAGUUGCAGUUGAUGACUUAGGAUUGAAGGGAUCAUGCAAAGAAGUUGAGGCUUGGCACCCUGAAGAGAGCCUAUGAGGGCUAUUGGUAAAGCCUACUUGUAGUGCAAGAUUCCAGUGUAUUGAAGAUGACAGUAACAUGGGAUGACCACCAAGAAGAGCAACAGUGGAAUGGAGUCAAUCAGAGCCUAGAGUACUCCAGAGGGCAGAGCUGGAGAAGUGACACCAGCCCUUUGGAGGAGCCUAGACGAUCAUGUGUGGAUUUCAGCCAUUAGAACAAGAAGCCAUAAAGUUGAAGUUGCCUUGGAUAACCCGAGAUGUUAGAGAUGUCAGAGCCAUGGGAUACCUGCAGAGGAAAGCUGCUAACAGGGAGUGGAAACAACCCAAGAGAACAAAAUUUGUUGCUGCUGAAUGUAAGAUCUGUCUAGAGCAGUGAACAGGAUGAAAGGGGUUGGAGAUCUGAAGAGCGCUUUCACAUGAGAUAUGGAGUUUGCCCAGCUCAGUUCUGGUUUUGCUUUGGUCCAGUAUUUCCUUGCUAUGGCAUUUUGGAAUGGUAAUGUAUAUCCUGUGCCCUGAUAUGUUGAAUGACGUGUGAUCUGCUUUUUUUUAUUGUGGUAUUUUAGGGGAUUAUGUUAAGAGAUUGCAUGAAUCUCAGAAGAGCCUUUGAACUUUAGACUUAUAAACUCUGAUGAGACUGUGAUAGACUAUGGGGAUAUUUGAAGUUGGACUAAAUUCAUUUUGCAUUAUGCUAUGUCUAGGUAUGCCCUCCCCCGUAGACUCAUGUAUUUAAAUAAGUCUGUGGGGGCCAGGGAGUAGAAUGUGGUAGCUUCAAUAUGAUUGGUCCAGGGAAUGGCACUAUUAGGAGGUGUGGCCUUGUUGGAUGAAGUGUGUCACUGUGGAGGUGGCCUUUGAGACUCUCCUCCUAGCCAUGUGGGAGCAGUCUUCUGUUUGCCUUCAGAACAGGAUGUAGAACUCUCAGCUCCUCCAGCAUUAUGCUUUCCUGGAUGCUGCCCUGCUUCCUUCCAAGAUGAUAAUGGACUGAACCUCUGAACCUGUAAGCGAGCUCCAAUUAACUGUUGUCCUUAUAAGAGUUGCCUUGGUCAUGGUGUCUCUCACAGCAAUGAAACCCUAACUAAGAUGGGGUUAUUUUUUAAUAACAUGAUGUGAAGGUGGGAGGGGGAAUAGUGGGAGAACAGUGCCAUGGGAGGGAAGACUUUAGGUUGGAUGUGAUCAAGGUGCAUUAUAUACACAUAUGAAACUGUCGAAGAAUAAGUUCGGGAAAAUAGAUAAUUUAAAGAAAGCUUGAAGGGAAAAUGUCUCAUACAUAGAAACACACUUUUCUACUAGCAAUUGAAAUUUACUUGAACUUUAAUGUUUGGGCCUCCCAUUCAGUUUACUAGGACAGUUUGUUUUGAUUUAAAGGGUCUUAAAUGCUUUUGUUGGUAAAUAUGCAGAAGUUAUUAUUAAAUGUUGUUAUUGCACUUGUAUUUGCAAAACAUAUUUUUAAAAUUUCUGUCAGGCUACCCAAUCACAAUCUAAGUCAUUUCAGUUUCUGUGGAGGAAGAAAAAUGAUACCUGAAAUUUUGGUUUGCAUGUGUGUUCAUGUUAGUGUAUAUGAAUAUACAUAUACAUAUAUAUAUUCAUCCAUAUAUGUGUGUGUGUGUGUGUGUGUGUGUGUGUGUGUGUGUGUGUGUACAUUUAUGUGUCCUGCUCUCAACAUAUUCUCUUCUAAGGUAGAGAUAGCAAUCAUUUUUAAGCUUCUAGCUAAAGAACAUGGUUUCCAUUUAAUGCAGAUGGAUUAUUAGACCUAUUGAAUAGUCAGAAACCCAGCCUAGAGUGCUUUGGUGUAAUUCAAGCACACUGGCUACUAGUUGUAGCUGGUGAUUCCAGCUUUACUCUGCAGGAGACAUGAACAAAAUCACAAAAGAUAAUGUGACCAGUAUGUCCCCCGUGACUGAAGCGGAACCUCACCGUGUUAUAAAUGGGUCUGGGCUGAGAGAGACCUCUGAGUCGUACAGUGGGCACAGUGUGAGCAGCCUACACCUAGCGCACCAGGUUUGAUCUUUGCCUGUCAUGACUGCAUUCUGCUUAGACAGGUCGAUCACCAGUCUGAACUGGUUAUCCGACAGAUAACUUAUUUGUUUCCUGGUUGUUCCUUGUUUCCAAGAACCAAGGCUAUUGGAUAUUUACCCUGUUGCUUAUGGCAGCAUCUUCUGGAAGAGGAAGUAAACGAUUCGCUUGCCAAGCGAGGCUCCAGUGGCCCCUUUGUUAUGAGUGUCUGGGGUAAGAUCCCUGCAGCACUGAGUGGCUCAGGAGGAAACAGCUCCAGUGGCCCCUUUGUUAUGAGUGUCUAGAGUAAGGUCCCUGCAGCACUGAGUGGCUCAGGAGGAAACAGCUGCUCUUGUGAGUUACCGACUUAACUCACUCAGGCUGCUUUCUCUUGCUUAGAUGUAUGAGCAUCAUUGAGCUCCCACCCUGGACUUCUUUGCUUUUGUGGAGUGGCCUCUCAACAUCCCUGAGCAGGAUCCCUCUGCCCUAUUCUGAAGUGAGAGAUGAAUCUCUCAGAGCCUGUGGGUCCCAGUGACAAACCAGCUGUCCUGAUGGUGUCAAGCUGCUUUUGGUUCCCAUGAACACUGUCAGCAGCACGUGAUCACCAGGUGGUUUGUGUCUCUUGCCUUUCACCCUGUCACUUUUCUGAUCUGCUCCCGUUUUUCACAGUUCACUCUCCCUUCCUUGCAUUAGUCCAUGGCAUUUGACAUCAGCUGACAUGUUUCCUGCUUACGUCUUAUUACAGAAAACCACCAAACCCCAGUAGCUUUGCUCUACUGUUCAGGGUUUUCUCAAAGCCACCCACAUUAUCCUGCUAGCAAAGUAGCAGAACUUAAAAAGAUAUUUUUUCCAGUGUAACAUCUAGAAAUGGCUUACUAGGUGUGGCCUACUCUCCACGUGUAGUUUUUGCUUCUCCAGAGGGGAUGCAUAGGUCUGAGUUUGCUUAGAAACUCUGUCUAUUCCAUGUCGUAUGCUAGCCAUACUGUUUCAACUGUAUCAGCUAUGUUUAAGCAAAUGAAUGCAGGUGUUCGUGAAGAGUGGCAGUGUGGAUGCUUGUGGUAUUCUGUGGCUUGCUGCUUGUAGGUUACCUGAGGCCUCAAUGUGAAUUGACUCAACUGUGGUCAUGUUGAUCUGAAGGAGAGGACCAUUUCCACAUUGACUGCUUACAUGAGGCUUCCCCCUCCAAGCUCUUUUCUUUCAUAUAUGCCACAUGCUGUGAUCUUGAGUCUCUUCUAGAUAUUCAAAUCAGUCUGUUAAUUGGAAUGUUGAACAAAUGAUGUCAUUGUUGGUGCUAGAGAGGAUUUAUAUUGGGUAAAACAUAAAAUUUUUAUCAAAUUAAAUAUAUCAUAAUGCUAUAAUAGUAAGUAAUCAAAAUUAUAGACAAUCAAUAAAACCACGGACUUGGAAUUGGACCAACCCUACACCAAAGAUUCUGGGCCUGGAGCCUGUUGUUGUACCUCUUACCUUUAAGUCCCUAACCCUGUGCAGUUAUUUGUAUGUGAGCUUUCUUCCUGUUGAGCCAGGGUCCAGUUUUCAUGGAUUCCUUAGAGAGUGUAAGCCCCCAACCCUUUCCUUAUAUCUUUUGGUCAAGACAGAGAAUUUGCUUUCUAUGUCAGGCCUUCUGCUAACCUCUAAUUUCUUAGUUUCUUAUCCCUAGGUUCACAAUGCCACUGCUUUUCUGAUGAGUAAGAUUUCUCAGUCACAUAACUGAGGAGUGUUGCAGCUGAAAUGCUAACCCAGCAAAACCAAUCCACUGUAUGCUUUGGGCCGCUUCUCUAUGCAGGACUACCUUUUGGGCAGACAGCCUUUUUGGUUGCACUGCCACUGCCAUUUGAAGCAUCUUUCCUGUGCGGUAACUGCUUCUUAAGCACCCUGCCUUCACCACACUCCAGCAGCCUUCCAGACUGCUGACUCCCAUUGCACAGCUGGCUGCGGGGUGCAGACCGUUAUCGGAACUGUCUAUUCUAGACGGCACAAAUGGAUAGGCCUUGCUCUGGACCAUCUCCAGGAAAUCCAUCCCAAACCCUGAAUGGUCCUGGCCCUGCUCCAAAACUGUACUAACCUCCCACAAAUUGUGAUUCCAGACACGUUUAUACCUUGGCCCCCAGGAUAAUGGAAGCCACAAAAGAGGCAGAAAUUAAAAUGUCAGUCCAGCUGGGCCCACAAUGUGGGCCAGCAAUUACAAUGGGACCAACUGUCUCUUGGGGCACCUGAGGGUAGCACGCCUGUGCGUUCCAUAGUAGGAACAGAGUCAUCCAGAGACAUUUCCUACAUGCAUAGCCACUGUAAUUAUGGUGUGCUACUUAUCAACUAAUAUUUUAAUGAGCAAUUGGAAAAAAUAAACCAAGUACAAAACAAUUACCAGAAAUCUGGUGACCUUUGUCACACACCUCCCAUUGCCAUUUUAUGAAAACUACACAGCCCAAAUUAUUGUUUGAUGGAAGCUGUAAGACAAGAUAGAGCAGCAUGCUUCUCUACCAAGAAGAGUGAGGACUCUGAUAUCGUCACAGUGACCUCAGGUCCCGAAAGGCAAGCAUUAGAUGAUGCCAUGCAGAUGGAAAGAGUGUCCACAGCAGAGAUGGCAGGCCUUAGAAUAAGGGAAGCCAAGGACACGGGGUGACAGAGGGUUCAAGCUAUGUGGACAGCUGGACAUUGCCCAUUUCAGUUUUCCCAUCCAUUCCUUACCAGCCGGCCGUUGGCAGGAGCCGCUCGUUUUACUGAAGCUGUCGGGUGUUUUGUGCUUCUGAGGGUGCAGUUAAGUGCUUGCUGUGGCACACUUGAGUCUUUGCUAGGUCCGAAAGCAGGAGUCUACUUCCAGUGUGCAGAGAAUAAGCAGCGACUCACCCCGAACAGCUCUGCAGCUAAGCUGCAUGGAGAAGCCGUGGUCCAGCAAAUAAAGCAAACCUGCCACGUCUCGCCCAGCAGGCCGCCUGUCCCCGGGUAUCUUCACGCAGGAUGGCCACACAGUGUUGUGACACACCUGAUGCACGCGGUUUUAUGGUUUGUCUUCGCACUUCCCGCUUCACUAGACUAGACGUUCUGUGAGGACAGUCUGUGAGGACAGUCUGUGAGGACAGUCUUCGCCAUCAUCCUCAAUGUGAAUACUCUAGGGACAGAAUAAUCAACUCAGUGAGGUUCUAGUUUAUGUCACAGCAACAGUGAAUUCUUAGUGGAAAGUGGAUUCAUUGCCUGGGCUUGUUUGCUUGCUUGCUUGUGUGUUUUGUUUUGUUUUGAGACAUACAUAGUUUCUCUAUGUAGUCCUGACUGUCCUGAAGCUCACUUUGUAGACCAGGCUGGCUUUGAACCCAGUGCCUGCCUCUGCCUCCCAAGUGCCGUGAUUACAGGUGUGUGUGCCAUUGCUCCCCAGCAUGCCUAGGUAUUUUGAGUACUUUCUCAUGGUGGCACACUGCACCUCAGUGUGUGACCUCAGUGUUGACUAUAACUGGGAAGAUAGGAGUGAGUGGCAGCGUGCAGUGAAUUGUGACACCCCUCUCAUGCUGGACUCUGCUGCAGGGGCCUCUAAUACAGUGGUUCUCAACCUUCCUACUGCUGUCACCCUCUCAUACAGUUCUUCAUAUUCUGGUGACAUCCAACUGUAAGAUUAUUUUUAUUUCUACUUCAUAACUGUAAUUUUACUACUGCUAUAAAUCGUAAUGUAAAUAUCUGUGUUUUCUGUUGGUCUUAGGUGACCCCUGUGAAAACUUAAUGUGUCUCCCAAAGGGGCCACAAGCCACAGGGUGAGAACUGCUGUUCUAGGAGGCAGGGGGUGGGCCCUGUUGCUACAGUGGGUCCAGCAUCUGUAAACCCUUCUCUGUUUCUCCAGGGAAUCAUCUUCCUCAGGGCUAAGAGGCCUGACUCAGCCAUGGUUGCAGCCGGGGCUACCAGAGGAGACCUGCAGCAGGAAGCUUGUUGGUUUUGCUGGGGAAGAGUUAUCUUGGACCUGUGGGACCUUUAUAUUGAAGUCACACAGGGGAGGAAGGUGUUGAGGGCAAGAGAGAAAAGGGGGUAAGGGGUCCUUUAGACACCAGGAGAGCUGAAAAAUCCCCCAUGACUUUUUAUUUAUUUUUUUUAAAUGUUGCUUUCUACAAUACUACAGCGAAUCCCCGAGCCAUAUGACUCUAUCCUAGAAGAUUCACAAAGGAACUAAAUUUGGCAAGUCACAGUCUUACUAGGAAUUCAUCAUUUUCCUGGGCUGAAAUCUACUUCAGCUACAGGAAACUCACAUUGUGUAAUACCACUUCAACCGGACAGCUCUGCAUGGAGACACUGAUUAGGACGCAUUUGCUCCUUCUGUCAUUCGGGAGAUAUUUAUUGAGUGCUCACUGUAUAAGUAGCCCUUUUCUCCAGUUGCAUAUUUAGGUCAUCCUUUGAGCUGUUCCUCACAUCAAAGGGAUUCUGGACCAUUCCUUCCACAGAGGAGCUCCACUGUGUAGUAUCCCUUUAACUGCACAUAGAGCACAGUGCACAAUGACGACGGCAUUGACUCAUUGGUGUUACACUUUCCCUGCGUAUCAGUCAUAUACUAGGCCUAAAGAUGACAGGGGUGAAAGACACUGUGUUGUGCUGAGAGUUCUCUGGACCCACAGCAACCUGUAAGUCAGGGGCACACAAGGUAGAGAGAACCCAAAUGGCCUUGGAGGGGACCCUUUCAGGUGCUUUCACAUGAGAGGGGGCCAGGGUAGGAGUGUGGUCUUUUGACAAGUGUCUGCGGGAGGGAAAGGGCACUCCAUGGAGGCUCGGAGGUAAAGCUAAAGAGGAAAAGAACACUCCAGAUCCGGAACUCAAAAGAGUCUGCCAAAGCAGGAGUGGACAAGAUGAGAGAGGCACCAGACAAAGCUGAAGAGCCCAAAAUGCUGUACUAGAAAGGUAGACGCUUUCCCUGUAAGGUUGCAUGGAGUUUGAAAAGUUGUCGAUAGUGAUGGGGUUAACAUGCUUGGCUUUACAUUUGGGGAAGCCAGUUUGAUAGUAUUUGGGCCUCUAGAAAUCAAGGUUUCAGACCAGCUGGGAGACUUAAUGGUUAGGUGAAGGGUGUUAUGGGACUCACUAAGGUAGUAGCUGACUGAGUAGGAAGAAGGGCAUGGUAGUGGAGACACGUAAACAGCGGGGCUACAGGGGCAUCAGAGGGCCCAUAACUUCAGUGGUCCUUGGAAGUGUUCGAGAAAGUGUGAGCCUCAGACCCACUGAGUCAGAGAAUUGUAAGUUCAAGACGCCCUAGAUUUCUUUCUCCAGAGGCCAUUAAAGCUUAAGGAACACUCCCGUAGGCCUCAGCCUAGCACUGAGACACCUGGAACUCCCCCGUCACUGAAGGCAUUCUAGCACAGAAGUAGUGAAACGUUCCAUAGUUGGCAUUGAGUGGUGGCUGGCAUUGGUGCUAAGAACCUAGCAGACAUCAGUAGAGCGGCUCUGCCUGGGUUGUGCAGUCUGAGGAGGUUUCCCUAAUAUGUUAAGCAGUUAGGCAGCAGUGAGCUAGGUAAAGCAGGCAGGAAGAGAGCAUGUGUGAUUUCCCAUGCAGACAGCCCAGGGUGGGAGAGACAUGGGGCUGGGAAUAACAGUGCGAGCAGGAGAGAGAGCAUGGGUGGGGCCUGUAGAGAUAUCAGAUCCAGCCCAGUAGGUUUAACAUUUAGAGGAAAAUAGGAAGGCCUGAGCAAUAUGGGAAGACCACCAGUAAGAGGAGAAAAGAAGUAGCUGAGGCUCCCUUGAUGACUGAGCACAGCCUCGUCUUCAUUGCUGGGGCCAUUGCUUGAGGUGCCUUGACUGCGACUGGUUCCAGAAAGAUCUGUGGGAUGUUCUUUCUAUGUGGCCUUGUCCUAGACAAGGCAGAGGAAUUGAAGUGCUGUCAUGUGAUCCUUGUGAUGUGACAUCUUGUUCCAGGUGACAUCUGGCUUCAUUGUGACGCUUAAUCCACAGAGCAGGGAUCAUUUUAUUCCCUUGCUGUCUCAUGGUUGUGUCAGCUCCACUUUUCCAACCCCUAGGACUUAAAGGCAGUUGUUGGUGGUUGUUAUACAAACUUCUACAUUUUCCCAAUUCCGGGCCCCGUCCCAGCCUUGUCUUUCUAAACCAGCCUCCACUUCACUAGUUCUCUCUCCUGACUACCUCAGACAGACCUGCUGAGGCUUCUUUGUGUUGCUCUAGGACCCUCCUUCAUCACUGACGACAGGGUGCCCCUUGGCACAGCAGCAUCUAUACAGAUGUUGGCCAGUCCAGACUCUUCCCAACUCAUAGCUAAAGACAGAUGCUGUUUAGGGAUGCCUAUAAGACCUGUGAGUUCCCACCCAACAGUAGUUGUGACAUUACAUUUUAAUUUUGUUAUAGACCUAAUAAUCCAUAAAGGGCUGCUGUUUUACUCACUACCAUCUCGUUAAUUGGCUCAGAAUGCAGUGUGUGAUGGACAUUUAAUAAACAUUUUCUCAGUAACUUAACCCACGUUGUUUUUAGACUUGCAGGAAGUGUGCAAAACAGCCAGGGUGCUGGUUGUGUUCUGAGGUGGAAGUGUGAGACCCCGGCAGGCAGUCUCCAGAGCUGGGCCAGUGCAGUCUACAGCCUGUGCUCUGCUUUCCAGAGCACCGCCUAAUGCUCCACAGAAGCACCGUCUCUUCAGUAGAGACAUGGCACGUCACAUGCAGUGAGUCUAAGGACACCUGCUGGUGGCAUGACUAAGUCUGUUAAGGUGCCUGGAGGACACAUGUAUGAUCCAGGUUCAAUCCCCAGAUCUUCAGAAGGUAGAAGGAGAGGACUGCCUCCUGCAAGUCGUCCCAUGGCCUCCCCACAUUCACACCCAUAAACAAGCACACUGAAUCACCUUUAACUCUGGAGAAAAGAGGCAGAACUCAGAUAAGUCACCAAUUUUUAAUUUUAUAGGCAGGAUGUGUCAAAAGGCCUGCAAUUUGCAGAUAGAACCCCUAUUAACUGGUACAGAAAAUGUCAAACUUCACUGUGUCACAGUGGAAAGCCAAUUGCUAAAUUAAAAAAACCUUUUUACGUGUAAUCAUCUCAGUGUUUGUAUUUUUCACUGUCUCCUGUCACGUUUCACUGUUUUCUGUUUAAAUUGUGAUUUCCCCAGAUUCCUACAUCGAGUGCUCUCUGCCUGAGUUUUUUUCUCUGUCAACAUUCGAGUUUCUAUGUUUGCCAAAAAUACCAGAGUGCUUGGUAACCUUUACUGAGUCUGUUACUGCUGCUGCUAAGAAGGUGUUACUGCUAAGUAACCCAAGCAGUCCUUAAACUCAGUGUAUCUCAGGCCGGCCUCCAAUUCAUGGCAAUCCUCCUGCCUCAGCCUCUGGAGUGCUGGGAUUACAGGUAUGCACUGCUAUGCCUGACUUUUUUUGAGACAUUUUGUACCUUGCAUACCAACUCUGUGAUAUGGAUAUCCUAAUUAUUGGUUUAUUCAGAUUCACCAACAAAGGACAGAUACUUUGCUCUCCCUGACUUAUUUUUAAGAUAAAUUAGCAGAGAGAUCAUUAUCACAUUGAUUUUGGUUGCUCUCCCUGCUCUUGAUGUGCAGGUAUGUGAAGACUGUGUGAGUGAAGAUUGAAUGAGGCCUGAUUCUAGAGCCUGAACUCUGACCCCAGCAUCCAGAGUUCUCCAAGGGCCCAAAGACAGCACGCCCUGCUGGGUGGGCUCUCAGAGGCCACCUGGCUCUGAACAUAAAGGGUGCUUGUGGGUUUCGUCAACUAGGUUACUUUCUGGGCUGGUUGGGCAGUAUGGUUUGACUUGUGUUUCCUGGACUCUGGAACUGCAUGGAUAGUGUAUGAACUUUAAAUCUGCAUGUAGUUUUUCAUCAAUAAAAUAUUAAUAAUUUAGUGAGGUUGCCAGCCAGCAUAUAGGUGUAUGACAAGGGAAUUUUUCUUUGGACCUCCAUGGAAUGCUAACUCGCUGUCAUUUUUAAAGUGUUGCAAAAGCAAAUGCAAGGGCAUAGAUGUGUUGAGUCCACAGUGAGGGCACAGAGAGCAGAGACAAAGUCUACAGCAAUUGCAACUGCUUGUCACCUCAAAGUAACACAGGAAAACAGAGUCAGUGAAAGUCUGCAAAUGCGAGCAGUGUGAAAAGAACUCAUUUCAGGGAGCACCGUGGGCUGAAACUGAGAGUGCCGUGCCUGCUACAGAUCAGGUGGGAAGGCCUGAGGAUGGAGGCCCUCAGGGACUUGCCCUUUCCCAUGGCUACAGAGCCAUCGCUGGGAAAAUGAGAGCAGCAUGAGUUCCUCUGAGAGAGUUGGAGACCCCACCUCCGCCCCAGAGGAGGGGGCUGGGUAUUUGGGGGCUAUAGCCCAAGGUCAAGAAAGAAAAGCAAAAAGCCCAAACCACCCACUUUCCGAGUUCCUCCUCUCCUGUUCUCCUCUCCCAGCCUUUUAGUCUCAUAUCCUUGGCUGAACUGCCUUCUUAGCCUCCGUCUAGUUUCAAACUGAGGCGACCUUGCUCUCAACUGAGAGAGCCAGAUGUGGCUGUUUCCAAGGAGUAAAUCUGUGGUGUUUGUGUGUGGUUUGCUUUUUCCUAUGGAAAAGUAAUCUAGGAAAGCCGAACUAUUUCUAACGUGCACCGAAGGUUGAGAAGGAGGGCUGUGCAGCCGUGAUGAGAUGGAAGAGACUGUCAGCUGGGCCCCGGGACAGCCAAACAGCAGGCAGGUCCCCGUCCCAUCUAGAGGCAUACCGAGCAACCCAGGAAGAGCCUGCUACCCACUGCCCUGACGGUGGAUUUAUUGAGCUGGUUAUGAAGCCUGCUAUUUCUGCUCUGUCAAAUUCAUUCCAUUAAGACUUAAAAUAAGUCUGCAACUGGAUAAUCUUACUGUUAUAGGAAGAAGCCUUAUGUAAUACAUGCAAAUGCAUGUUGAAAUUAUUAGGCUUUUAUUUCCUCCUCCUCAGAGCAGCAUUUAAGUAAGAGCUGUAAAAGCCCAGAGAUUUUCGAUAAUAAAUGUAUAUCUGAGAGUAUCUCCUGACAUUGUGUGGAAAGCUAUCCAAAGGUUUUCGGCAAAGGCUCUGUGGGGAUAGACAGAGCGGGGCCUAAUGCCUCCUAGUUACUCUCUAGUUACUUCAGACUGCUCCAUGCAAAUCACCUUGCUGUCAAGUCCUGAAAGUUGUUCGGUCCACCAGAAAAGCGUUCAGAAUUUGGGUCAGAAAGCCAGGGGUGGAGUCCCAGUCUUGCCCUUUGUGAGUUCUGUGUCACAGCUACUGCAGGAUUCCUUUCUUUCCUGUACAAUGGGAGAAGUAACAGUUCCUGUUUCCUGGGGCUGCUGGUGAGACUUGGGAGACAUCCAUCUAUGGAGUGCCCUGCAAGUUUCAAAGGGCAGGGAGGUGGCCAGCUCUUGCAGUCACUCGUUGCCUCACAGAAUGAGGGAUAGCUACACGAGAAGGAGAAAACCACUUAUUACAAAAAGCCCUCCUUCAUAGUUACCAUAGCAGAUGACGACAUACUUGAAUUCUGUCCAUAAAGGCAGAUAUAAAGUAAUCAGAAAGCUAGUCCAUUUUAGAUGUGAAAAUACCUUUCAUCUACAAAGAAAAAAAAGUUUCUUUUGAGAUUGUAGAGGGGUCGGUCGUGUGGCCUAAAAGAGUGCCACAAUUUAGCAUUUGCUAAAUUGUGGGUUGGAGGGCUGUAAGACGACUGAAGGAAUCACACACACAAAUUUUUAAUUCCAUUUGAGCUAUAAUCUGAUUUCACUGUGGAGUACAAUGUCCCUUUCAAGAGAAAUCUGAAGUCAAUAUGGAGGACUGUGGUGCAGAAGUUUUCCACCCAGCAACAGGAUGACGUCAGCGGUCAGGGAAAACAACCAAUCAGGAGGCAGAAUGAAUAAACGCGUGCUGGGAUUUCGCUCAUCGGUCUCCUAGAGCAAGCUCGGCUCUAAAGUGCAGGGGUUAUUUGCAGUUCCACUGCACUCCAAGCCUAGACCCAGCGGCUCCAUGGUUGAAAGAGCACCGUGCGCGCAGGCGUUGUUGAGACCAUUUGCAUCCAGACCUGGUCCUGCAACUUCUAAGAGUCACGUUGAUGUAUUUCUGCAAGAAUUGGGGACUGGGGGUGGGGCGAGGGGAGAAGGGGCAUAAAAAAGUCAGGAUUAGUAAAUAUUUUAAAGGCUUGAUUUAUAUGCUGUGCCUUGUAGUUGUUUGAAACCUGUUUUGUUUCAUGCAUUAGAUGCUGCUGGGAGGCUAAUGAGCUAAUGACACAGGGGCCAUUAUGUAAAGUUCAGUGCAUGCUCUAUAAACCUCAGAGAGUUUGAAUUUGCCUGUGAUGUUUCAGGUCUUCUAAUGAUAAGCAGUCUGAAAACGAACAGCUGUUUUAUCUUUGGGUCAAAAGCCUGACUUUCACUAAGCUGUGCUCUCUGUGUGCACUACAAACAUGUCUCAAUGGGAAGUUCUAAUGUGGCUUGCAGACUAGCUCCCGCGUGAGGAAGCUGGGCAGGAUUCCUGAAAACUUGAAGUUUGCCUCCAAACAUCUGGUCAGUCUUCAAGGUCUUGGUAGACCGUGGCAGCAGUAAUAUAGAAAGGGUGCAGAUGAAGGGUUAAAUCCACCAGGCAGCCUCACUGUCUGUCAUACUUCCUAGGCACACACCUUGUCUGCAUGAGCCAGGCAGCGUCCUCUCCCGGGAGCGGUGAAGCUCCUCUUUCCGAAGGAAAGAGGCAUCUGGCAAGGAGAUGGUGAUUUCCAUCUUUCUUCUUCCAGAGUCGCUGGCAGGCUUCAGCAUCGUUGAUGGAAUUAUUAGUCUUCACCUGACACAACUUUCUUUUUGAUAGUUUGUGUCUUGGCUGACAGCCUCCUUUUUUCACUAGUGAAAUGAAAACAGGAUUUAUAAAAAUGAAUUAAUUUGAGCGAAUUAGGGACAUACCAUUCUGAACUCCUCCGAGGAUCUAGAGAGAAGGAUCUAGAGAGAAGCAGAGCGAGUGAGUGGCCGCAGAGCAAUCCUUUUGGGUGCAGGUGCCUGCCUGUGCUUGUGGACCAGUCUCCCUCCACCUAGCAGAGCACCAUCCCACAGGUGCUGGCAGGGGCAUUGCUCAGACCGGAGCAGGGCUCUAAAGAUAAAUAGCCUUUCACACAGAGGUUCUCUGGCUGAACAGAGUAGUUGAGUAGAUGGCUACUCAAUAAUUCAUAGCCCUCUCUCUCCUUUAAACUGGAAAUAAACAACUUGUUGGCAAACAGGCAUCCCAGAGAGACCCACAAACACUGUGGAUUUGUAAUUAGCAUGUAAAAGGAUUGCUGGAAGCCUGUUGUGCCCUGCAGGUUCCCAGGAAGACUGGGAAGGCCUUGUUUACACUCUGGCAUUCAUUUGCUUAGCAAAUCUUCACUGUAAAGGCAACAUUAAAUUUCCGGGCUUUUUUCUGUUUGACUGACCUCAGAUACCAAGCCUUGAGAGAACAGCAAGGGGGCUCCUAAUGAUUCUAUAGCGCCCUUUGUGGGUCUUUACAGAGAGAUCCAACAGGUGAAACACCUGAAGCACCUUCCCUGUCUCUUUCUCAGUAUUCUCAAGGAUACGUGCUCCUUGUAUGCAGAGGGGUUUAGAAAAGCUGUUACUGGGGUGGGCCAGGAGCCUUCGUGUGGGUGAAAACCCCAGAGUCAGGUUAGAGGCCACAGCCGCUGCAGUACAGAAGUCAGAGGAAGUGGAGUGCGGUACACUUCCUGGGUGAGCUCACCAGCUAUUUUGGACUCUGGUUCCUCAUUAGUCGGUAGUCAAGGAGACCACGGGAAAUGGCAACAUCUGACUAUUUUCACCCAGCCUUUUUCUUAGAGACGUGCACUUGCUGACUAAGAUAGCGCACUGGACCUGGGGAUCAGCUUACCACAGUGCCUUCUUCCCACUAAACAGAGGCAGACGGGGCAUGCUCAGAGAUUUAUGGCCAAGUACCCCCUGAUGGCAGGACAAAGGCAGCAGAAUAGAGAAACUGAGAUUUUCCUGUUGCCCUGCCUUGCAUUCUAUCUUGCCUGAACCAUUGAAGUUCACAGAGAGGUGGCAUUAAUAAAGACUGCAGGUACAGCCUUGGCUGGGAGUAGAGAUUCACCUGAUUUUGAAUCAAGGGGCCAUUCAUUCCCUUACAGACCCAAUCAGAUCUUGGCCUGUACUUGAGCAAGGGAAGUCACCUUAUUCCAGGAGGGUGUCAUUUUGUAUGGGAAUAUAUGGAUGUGAUUUCGUGGGUUACAGUGACAUGGGUAAGGCAACAUUUGCAGCGUUGCAUGUGAAGGUGAAAUUGGAGUUAGGCAGGUUUCAUAUCCAGUGUGUCGGAGGAACAUUCCAAAGAGAUUGCUGCAGACUAGCCACUAAGCCAGGGACUCCAAAACUUGUUGGCUAUCUAGGCACAGAAGAACCAAGCAGAGUUCCCCUAGAGUGUUCAGGGUGAGCUGGCCAUGCCUACACCUUAAUUUUGGGUGUCUAUUCUCCAAAAGUAUGAGACAAUACAUUUAGGUUGUUGUAACUUGUGUAGCUAGUGGUUCUUUGUUAAACAGCCUUAGCAAAUUAAGACAACCAAAAUGUCUGUUGCCACGCUAUGUAGGGUAAAGUUGCCCAUCCAUUGUAUGAAGAUGAGUCACUCACUUUACCUUUCUGGAAGAAAGUUUUCUUACUUGUUCUGUCAAGGUAGAAUAGAUAGGUCAAAAGGAGUCUUGGAAUAUUGAGUUGCUCCCCAAUAUUCUGUGGGUUUUCCUCCUCUAACCUCCUAGAAUUUCUGAGAGGACAGAGUAAAGGAGAAAAGAAGGUGCACAGAACCAGCCUGCUGGUGCCUGGCUCAGGCUGAGGCAGUGCCCGACCCAGGCUGUCUCUGGGUUGGGUGACUCUCUCCUGUGAUUCCUUUUUGCUUCUCCAUGACUCAGCUUGCUGAACAAGGCUUGGGGCAGGUGGGAAGGUUGUGGUGCAUGUGGCCCUCGACAGACAAGCCUUCUGAUUGAAUGGGCAGGGCAUCAGCUGCUGGGCCCAGUGUCACUCUGGGCAGCGAAAUUAUCUACUGAAUUAUCCUGAGAACUUUGUGUAUUGGGCACUCUCCUUCCAUGUUUCUGUCAUUUAAAUAAAUCCAAGGUAAUUCUUCAAUAUGGAAACUGAAAGGGAAAACAAGUGUGUUAUGUGCCCAAGGUCACAGAGAUAAAGACGGAACUCGGAGACUGCUGAACUUGACGGCUUUGCUUGAUUAUCGUGCAAAACAAUGCUUUACCUGGCCGUUUCGCCCUGCGGAGCAGCUACACAAGCAAACAGCGUUUGUGUAGUGCCCAGUGGAUGACAGAUACACUCAAGGUUCUGGGGAUCCAGUAGCACAGGACAGACAGAAGCCCUGCCCUCAUGGAGAAGGGAGGCCGACAGUAAAAACAGAGACAAAUAAUUUAGGUGAUAGGAACUAUGUAGCAAGUAAAACAGGAAGGGACAGAGAGUGUGAUUAGCAGGCUCAGAGAAGACAGUCCUUAGUCUCCGUCUCUUGACAUUCAUGUCCUUCUAUAACCACUGGACUGUGACCUGAACCCAGGGGCUUCAUUUGUAAGGAGCACAGUGCAGCAAAGAUAGAUGAAAAGACAUCUAAGAAUAACAGAGAAACUGUAAAAUUAGGAAGUGGUUUAAGCUAACAGGACUCAGUGAGAUCCACAUGCUACAGUGACUUUGGUAUUCGUUCCUAUUUAGUUAGUAAAUAACAAACUGCCCUAGAAAGACAAACUUGGGUCUUCUGAGGCUUUGUGCAAGGAGCUCCUCUCUCCACUGUUGAUUCACGCAGAGUUUCUUUGUAUCAGGACACCAGCAGAAUACUUUCUGCUUAAUUGUGUUUAAUGUCCUUUCCCAGGUCAUCACAAGCUCUCAGAGCAGAUGGAGAGCCCAUUUGGAUUCUCUGUAUCAACCUAGAUUUCCAAGGACUGAAAGAACCAAGAGCCUGACCUUGGCUUCUGUGGAACCAAAAGGCAACAUUAAGGCUUCAAGGAAUACUUUAGAUAUCCACUUUCUCAAGCUACAAAGAAAUAUGAAAUGAGAAAUUGAGACAAGGAAAGAAGAAACAAUAGGAAUCCUUGGAGAUUUGCUUAUAGGAUGGAUGCGACAAUUUCCUGCUUUAAAUGAGGUUUGAAAGACUUCAAUAAACUGGGGCAGCAUGAAUAAACAUCUAGAUACUAUGCCAACUAUAUCAAGAUCCCCAGCAUGUAUGUGGAAGAGGCCGACACAGAACUACUCACCGUGGAACUGAAUUAACCAGGAAAUAUAUACAUUUCAAUAUAUAGAUACAGACAGACAUAGAUUUGGAUAUGGGUAUAGAUAUAUAAUGGCCAUGUCAUAAGUGACUGUAGACUGACUUGAAAGUGGUUCUAGAGUGAUCAUCACUUAUGCUUAUAGUCAGAAAACUAACAAUGCAUGCAGCUUAGCAGUAUGUUUUCUAAAAAUCUAAGUCCACAAAAUUUGAACCGUUAUGUUCAUGACUGUGUAUUGAUCCAAAUAUUUCCAAUAAAUAAGACCACUUUGGCUUGCCUUAAGUUUUAGAAUCA